AGAGUUUGAUCAUGGCUCAGAUUGAACGCUAGCGGCAUGCUUAACACAUGCAAGUCGAACGGCAACAGGCAGUAGCUUGCUACUGUGCUGGCGAGUGGCGGACGGGUGAGUAACGCGUAGGGAUCUGCCCCGAAGUGGGGGAUAACCCGGGGAAACUCGGGCUAAUACCGCAUAGUCUCUAAGGAGUAAAGAAGGCCUCUGUUUCAUGCUUUUGCUUCGGGAUGAACCUGCGUCCGAUUAGCUUGUUGGUAGGGUAAUGGCCUACCAAGGCGACGAUCGGUAGCUGUUCUGAGAGGAAGACCAGCCACACUGGGACUGAGAUACGGCCCAGACUCCUACGGGAGGCAGCAGUGGGGAAUAUUGGACAAUGGGGGCAACCCUGAUCCAGCAAUGCCGCGUGUGUGAAGAAGGCCUGAGGGUUGUAAAGCACUUUCGGUGGGGAGGAAGAUUCCGUCGCUAAUACCGGCGGAUGAUGACGUUACCCGCAAAAGAAGCACCGGCUAACUCUGUGCCAGCAGCCGCGGUAAUACAGAGGGUGCAAGCGUUAAUCGGAAUUAUUGGGCGUAAAGAGCACGUAGGCGGAUGAGUAGGUUGGGUGUGAAAUCCCUGGGCUUAACCUAGGAAUGGCACUCAAAACCGCUUAUCUAGAGUACAGUAGAGGGAAGUGGAAUUUCCGGUGUAGCGGUGAAAUGCGUAGAUAUCGGAAGGAACAUCAGUAGCGAAGGCGGCUUCCUGGACUGAUACUGACGCUGAGGUGCGAAAGCGUGGGGAGCAAACAGGAUUAGAUACCCUAGUAGUCC
rnacentral:rRNA from 1 species